AGUGUCUCUUCGGAGCAGGGAGACAGGUGGUGCAUGGUUGUCGUCAGCUCGUGUCGUGAGAUGUUGGGUUAAGUCCGCAACGAGCGCAACCCUUAUCCUUAGUUACCAGCACGUAAAGGUGGGGACUCUAGGGAGACCGCCGGGGACGACUCGGAGGAAGGUGGGGACGACGUCAAAUCAUCAUGCCCCUUAUGUCUUGGGCUACACACGUGCUACAAUGGCCGCAACAGAGGGAAGCGAGAGCGCAAGCUGGAGCAAAACCCUAAAAAGCGGUCCCAGUUCGGAUUGUGGGCUGCAACCCGCCCACAUGAAGUCGGAGUUGCUAGUAAUCGCGAAUCAGCAUGUCGCGGUGAAUACGUUCCCGGGCCUU
rnacentral:rRNA from 1 species